rnacentral:tRNA from 1 species
GAGAAAUUAUUUUAAUUAAAAUAUAAAUCUGUCAGAUUUAAGUUACCUCAAGGUAUUUCUUU